GAUGAACGCUGGCGGCGUGCUUAACACAUGCAAGUCGAACGGUGAAGCCAAGCUUGCUUGGUGGUUCAGUGGCGAACGGGUGAGUAACACGUGAGCAAUCUGCCCUUGACCCUGGGAUAAGCGCUGGAAACGGCGUCUAAUACUGGAUAUGAGCUGUGGCCGCAUGGUCGGCAGUUGGAAAGAAUUUCGGUAAAGGAUGAGCUCGCGGCCUAUCCGCGUGUUGGUGAGGUAAUUGCUCACCAAGGCGUCCACGGGUCGCCGGCCUGGGAGGUUGAACGGCCACACUGGGACUGAGACACGGCCCAGACUCCAACGGGAGGCAGCAGUGGGAAAUAUUGCUCAAUGGGCGCAAGCCUGAUGCAGCAACGCCGCGUGAGGGACGACGGCCUUCGGGUUGUAAACCUCUUUUAGCAGGGAAGAAGCGAAAGUGACGGUACCGGCAGAAAAAGCACCGGCUAACUACGUGCCAGCAGCCGCCGUAA
rnacentral:rRNA from 1 species